rnacentral:rRNA from 1 species
GUUGUAUGGUUAAGUGACUAAGCGUACACGGUGGAUGCCUUGGCAGUCAGAGGCGAUGAAGGACGUAUUAACUUGCGAUAAGCCCAGAUUAGACAGUAAAAGUCAUUUGAGUCUGGGAUUUCCGAAUGGGGAAACCCACCUGCAUAAGCAGGUAUCAUUACCUGAAUACAUAGGGUAAUGAGGCGAACCGGGGGAACUGAAACAUCUAAGUACCCCGAGGAAAAGAAAUCAACCGAGAUUCCGAAAGUAGCGGCGAGCGAAAUUGGAUUAGCCCUUAAGCCUUUAAUGCGUCAGGUGAAAGUUCUGGAAAGUUCUGCGAUACAGGGUGAUAGCCCCGUAACCGACAGCGCAUUUUAGGUGAAAUCGAGUAGGGCGGGACACGUGAUAUCCUGUCUGAAUAUGGGGGGACCAUCCUCCAAGGCUAAAUACUACUGACUGACCGAUAGUGAACCAGUACCGUGAGGGAAAGGCGAAAAGAACCCCUGUGAGGGGAGUGAAAUAGAACCUGAAACCGUGUACGUACAAGCAGUAGGAGCACCUUCGUGGUGUGACUGCGUACCUUUUGUAUAAUGGGUCAGCGACUUAUAUUCAGUAGCAAGGUUAACCAUCUAGGGGAGCCGUAGAGAAAUCGAGUCUUAACUGGGCGUCGAGUUGCUGGAUAUAGACCCGAAACCAGGUGAUCUAGCCAUGGGCAGGUUGAAGGUUGAGUAACAUCAACUGGAGGACCGAACCGACUAAUGUUGAAAAAUUAGCGGAUGACUUGUGGCUAGGGGUGAAAGGCCAAUCAAACCUGGAGAUAGCUGGUUCUCCCCGAAAUCUAUUUAGGUAGAGCCUCGGACGAAUACUACUGGGGGUAGAGCACUGUUAAGGCUAGGGGGUCAUCCCGACUUACCAACCCUUUGCAAACUCCGAAUACCAGUAAGUACUAUCCGGGAGACACACGGCGGGUGCUAACGUCCGUCGUGGAGAGGGAAACAACCCAGACCGCCAGCUAAGGUCCCAAAUUACAGCUAAGUGGGAAACGAUGUGGGAAGGCUUAGACAGCUAGGAUGUUGGCUUAGAAGCAGCCAUCAUUUAAAGAAAGCGUAAUAGCUCACUAGUCGAGUCGGCCUGCGCGGAAGAUGUAACGGGGCUAAGCUGUAAACCGAAGCUGCGGCAAUGCCAUUUAUGGUAUUGGGUAGGGGAGCGUUCUGUAAGCCGUUGAAGGUGAGUUGUAAAGCUUGCUGGAGGUAUCAGAAGUGCGAAUGCUGACAUGAGUAACGAUAAAGGGGGUGAAAAACCUCCUCGCCGGAAGACCAAGGGUUCCUGUCCAACGUUAAUCGGGGCAGGGUAAGUCGACCCCUAAGGCGAGGCCGAAAGGCGUAGUCGAUGGGAAACGGGUUAAUAUUCCCGUACUUCUUACAAUUGCGAUGGGGGGACGGAGAAGGCUAGGUGGGCCUGGCGACGGUUGUCCAGGUUCAAGUGCGUAGGCUUGAGAGUUAGGUAAAUCCGGCUCUCUUUAAGGCUGAGACACGACGUCGAGCUGCUACGGCAGUGAAGUCAUUGAUGCCAUGCUUCCAGGAAAAGCCUCUAAGCUUCAGAUUGUAAGGAAUCGUACCCCAAACCGACACAGGUGGUCGGGUAGAGAAUACCAAGGCGCUUGAGAGAACUCGGGUGAAGGAACUAGGCAAAAUGGUACCGUAACUUCGGGAGAAGGUACGCUCCUGUCGGUGAAGUCCCUUGCGGAUGGAGCUAACGGGAGUCGCAGAUACCAGGUGGCUGCAACUGUUUAUUAAAAACACAGCACUGUGCAAAAUCGUAAGAUGACGUAUACGGUGUGACGCCUGCCCGGUGCCGGAAGGUUAAUUGAUGGGGUUAGACGUAAGGAGCCGUCCUUGAAAUACCACCCUUGUAGUGUUGAUGUUCUAACUUAGACCCGUUAUCCGGGUUGAGGACAGUGCCUGGUGGGUAGUUUGACUGGGGCGGUCUCCUCCCAAAGAGUAACGGAGGAGCACGAAGGUGGGCUAAUCACGGUUGGACAUCGUGAGGUUAGUGCAAUGGCAUAAGCCCGCUUGACUGCGAGAAUGACAAUUCGAGCAGGUGCGAAAGCAGGUCAUAGUGAUCCGGUGGUUCUGUAUGGAAGGGCCAUCGCUCAACGGAUAAAAGGUACUCCGGGGAUAACAGGCUGAUACCGCCCAAGAGUUCAUAUCGACGGCGGUGUUUGGCACCUCGAUGUCGGCUCAUCACAUCCUGGGGCUGAAGUCGGUCCCAAGGGUAUGGCUGUUCGCCAUUUAAAGUGGUACGCGAGCUGGGUUUAGAACGUCGUGAGACAGUUCGGUCCCUAUCUGCCGUGGGCGUUGGAAGAUUGAAGGGGGCUGCUCCUAGUACGAGAGGACCGGAGUGGACGAACCUCUGGUGUUCGGGUUGUCAUGCCAAUGGCAUUGCCCGGUAGCUAAGUUCGGAAUCGAUAACCGCUGAAAGCAUCUAAGCGGGAAGCGAGCCCUGAGAUGAGUCUUGACUUAGAGUCUAAC